rnacentral:rRNA from 1 species
GACGAACGCUGGCGGCGUGCUUAACACAUGCAAGUCGAACGGAGUGGCGAACGGGUGAGUAACACGUGGGUGAUCUGCCUUGCACUUCGGGAUAAGCUUGGGAAACUGGGUCUAAUACCGGAUAGUGCAAGAUGAGCUCGCGGCCUAUAAGCUCGUUGGUGGGGUAAUGGCCUACCAAGGCGUCGACGGGUAGCCGGCCUGAGAGGGUGUACGGGCUCAUGGGUACUGAGGUACGGCCCAGUCUGCUACGGGGGGCAGCGGUCGGGAGUAUGGCACAAUCGGCGGAAGCCUGAUGCAGCGACGCCGGGUGGGGGAUGAAGGCCUUCGGGUUGUAAACGCCUUUCGACAGAGACGCGGUACCUGUAUAAGAAGCACCGGCUAACUACGUGCCAGCAGCCGCGGUAAUUC